rnacentral:rRNA from 2 species
AAAUUGAAGAGUUUGAUCAUGGCUCAGAUUGAACGCUGGCGGCAGGCCUAACACAUGCAAGUCGAACGGUAACAGGAAGCAGCUUGCUGCUUCGCUGACGAGUGGCGGACGGGUGAGUAAUGUCUGGGAAACUGCCUGAUGGAGGGGGAUAACUACUGGAAACGGUGGCUAAUACCGCAUAACGUCGCAAGACCAAAGAGGGGGACCUUCGGGCCUCUUGCCAUCAGAUGUGCCCAGAUGGGAUUAGCUUGUUGGUGAGGUAACGGCUCACCAAGGCGACGAUCCCUAGCUGGUCUGAGAGGAUGACCAGCCACACUGGAACUGAGACACGGUCCAGACUCCUACGGGAGGCAGCAGUGGGGAAUAUUGCACAAUGGGCGCAAGCCUGAUGCAGCCAUGCCGCGUGUAUGAAGAAGGCCUUCGGGU